GACUACGGCCAUGCCACCCUGAACAAGCCUGAUCCCGGUUGAUCUCAGAAGCUAAGCAGGAUUGGGCCUGGUUAGUACUUGGAUGGGAGACCACCUAGGAAGACCAGGUGCUAUAGGCG
rnacentral:rRNA from 1 species